CAGUCUGACUGUGCCACAUUUAACUUACUGUAGAGGUGUAAAUACCUCUAUGAAAAUAAAAUACCAGAAGACCCUAAAAAUUUUAUAUAAAGUGUAUUAUAUAUUUAUACUAUCAUUUUGUUGGGGCGACAGAAUAGCAUAUAACCUAUUUUAAGUAAUACAUGAAGUUUUUAUAAAGACAGUAAAAAUUACUCUAGGGAUAACAGCAUAAUUAUUUAAUAGUUUGUGACCUCGAUGUUGGACUAAGGAAGGUUUUAUUCACAAGAUUAAAUCGCAUGUUCUGUUCGAACAAAUAUCCUUACAUGAUCUGAG
rnacentral:rRNA from 1 species